rnacentral:rRNA from 1 species
GACGACGCUGGCGGCAGGCCUAACACAUGCAAGUCGAACGAGUGGCGGACGGGUGAGUAAUGUCUGGGAAACUGCCUGAUGGAGGGGGAUACAUACUGGAAACGGUAGCUAAUACCGCAUAACCUCGACUGAGCCCAAAGGGGAUGAGCUAGUAGGUGGGGUAAAGGCUCACAGAGGCGACGAAACCUAUCUGGUCUGAGAGGAUUGAUAGCCACACUGGAACUGAGACACUGUCCAGACUCCUACGGGAGGCAGCAGUGGGGAAUAUUGCACAAUGGGCGCAAGCCUGAUGCAGCCAUGCCGCGUGUAUGAAGAAGGCCUUCGGGUUGUAAAGUACUUGCAGCGGGGAGGCGUUACCCGCAGAAGAAGCACCGGCUAACUCCGUGCCAGCAGCCGCGGUAAUAC